UGUCCACGUGGGUCCCAAUCAUCAGCGUGAAUGGAGAACUUGCGAGUGUAGCUCUUGAAGCCAUACCACGGGCCCACCUAGUUGGCAAGCAGUUCCACGUGUCGUGGGGUUGAUCGACGACGUAUUAGUUUGACUAUUUAAAAGCGCAUCACUCUUCAGCACACUGCACGCCACCUUCCAUUCCACUUUUUUUUCCCGAUUUUUCUAUGAAAGCAAUCACACCUUCCAGUUCCACUAUGUUUUGGAGCUAGCUGUUCCCUUGCAUUCCUUCAUCCUGCCUCUUUCCAGCCUGCUUGAAUUUUACAAUUUUCCUGAUAGAACAUGAGGGGAGGCAUGCAAAUUAAGGCCCCGUUCGAAUCUGAUUAUAGGAUGAAAAUUAAGUGUGCACGUAACAAGAGAUAAAUCAUUAGCAUAUGGUUAAUAAAGUUUUAAUUAUUAAAAAUUGAAAAUGGAUUUAUUUGAUUUUUAUAGUAACUUUUAUAUAGAAAGUUUUCACAUGAAAUAUACCAUUUAGCAGUUUAAAAAACGUGCAAACAGAAAUCGAGGAAAAAUCUAGAUGUUGUUGGAGUUUAGAACGGGGAACUUGGCUAUGCACGAUCGAUGCAAGAAGUGAUGGUAUCAUAGACACGGGAAGCGUUGGGAAUUAAUUAGGUGGCCUUGUGGAGUAAGCAGUUUGGACACGAAUUGCCCUCUUUGUUUCUAAUCAUGCGGUGCGGUAAUGAGCGUGACAAAAUCUGCAGGUCCCAACCAUGUGUUACGAUAUAUCUUCAGUACGAGGGAGAUCAAUGUCAACAACAAAUGUAUAGAAAUAGUAACAGAAGAGAUCACAAGGGAGGACGGUAAGGUGCGAGUUGUGCAGGCCAUGACAUAUAAGAUCCACAUGCGUCUCAUACUAACUUAGCUCGCCAUGUCAGCUGAAACUAGGCACAAUAGUUAGCCCGUUAAAUCAGCUAAAACUAGGCAUAAUACUGCUCUCACACCUUGGUACUCUAGUAUUAUAAGACAAGAGACACUUAUAUUUGUUAUUAUGAUUAAGAACAUGAUUCAAACUCGAUCUCAAUAUAAGAGAUCUAAAGUGAACUUAUUCCUUUACUUUUAAGGAAGGAAAGCCUCUUUCCUUGUAAAUUGUUUUCUUUUGACUGUGCGGUUCACAAACUGAAUGGAAAUUGAAUUUUUUUUUUCAAAAAUAUUCUUUGCUAACAAAGUUCCUUAUAAAUUUUAUAGGAACUCUUUGAAUUUUCGGCAGGAUCCGUUCUCGACCCUAGUUCAUCGCUGGAUUCUACUUGAGCCGAGUUUCACAAUCAAAUCCCGCUCCCUGCGGCAGAUAUUCAAGAAAUUGAGGCCAACGCAGAAUAUAUAUGCAAUCUCGAAAGCACAGUAAAACCACAGAUAAUUCGCAAACCAAAGCAUGGCAUGUUCACAUAGUCCAACACAGCACAAUUAUUUGGUUUGGGUAUACUUAAUUACUCUGCAUCUGGCCUGAAUGAUUUUAUUCAUACAACCUGACAGGUUGACAACAUAUAUGCGUAAAUGGCUCACGCCGAUCCAAGGAAACGACCCAUCCAA